CGAGACCUCAGGUCAGGCGGGGCUACCCGCUGAAUUUAAGCAUAU
rnacentral:rRNA from 1 species